rfam:Myotis brandtii contig238583, whole genome shotgun sequence.
AUCGCUUCUCGGCCUUUUGGCUAAGAUCAAGUGUAGUAUCUGUUCUUAUCAGUUUAAAUAUAUUGAAUGCACAUAUUCUAGCAUAUAAUUACACUUGAUUAGAAUGAAUCUCAUAUUAUUUGAGAGAAAGUCUAUUAUUAAGUUUACCACUUGGAUAAUUGACCAACAG